GUCGGAGCAGAGGAAUCCGUUUUAAUCGCCGACUGAUCCAUAAUCUGAGCAGAACUCGCCAAAAUCUUCCCUCUCGUCGACCUCGAACUCAACCCAGAAAACCCAUUUCGAUUGAACUCAACCCCAGUUGAAGAAGAACGGAGAUGAACCGAAUUGCGAUUGCGGAUCGGGAAAAAGCAGCCGACGGCGGCGGAUUUGAAGAGUGGGGAUUUGACGAUAAGGUCAGUGGCAGGGGAAAGACAGAGAGAAUUGGGGACGG
rnacentral:misc_RNA from 1 species